rnacentral:lncRNA from 1 species
AUUCUGUUCUGUGACCCUCGGGAAUUGUGUGAUGCUAAAUCAGGACCCAACCUGAUCUAAGGUAUAUCUAUUUAUAUAUAUUGCUGUAUAAUUCAGAAGAAAGGUG